rnacentral:rRNA from 1 species
UACAGAGGGGGCAAGCGUUGUUCGGAAUUACUGGGCGUAAAGGGCGCGUAGGCGGCCUUCUAAGUCGAACGUGAAAUCCCUGGGCUCAACCCAGGAACUGCGUCCGAUACUGGAAGGCUUGAAUCCGGGAGAGGGAUGCGGAAUUCCAGGUGUAGCGGUGAAAUGCGUAGAUAUCUGGAGGAACACCGAUGGCGAAGGCAGCUCGCUGGGACGGUACUGACGCUGAGACGCGAAAGCGUGGGGAGCAAACAGG